UACGGGGGGAGCAAGCGUUGUUCGGAAUUACUGGGCGUAAAGGGCUCGUAGGCGGCCAACUAAGUCAUACGUGAAAUCCCUCAGCUUAACUGGGGAACUGCGUGUGAUACUGGAUGGCUUGGAUUUGGGAGAGGGAUGCGGAAUUCCAGGUGUAGCGGUGAAAUGCGUAGAUAUCUGGAGGAACACCGGUGGCGAAGGCGGCCCCCUGGUUGGAUACUGACGCUGAGACGCGAAAGCGUGGGGAGCAAACAGG
rnacentral:rRNA from 1 species